ensembl:lncRNA
GUACUCUGCCGAUUCCAGGAAGUCAGUCGAUCCAAUAGGAUGCGUCUCAUUUAAUCACGUAUUUUUAGAGGUCGCUGAUUGGCGGCCCAAUUAGUCGCGUCGCAGCCUCUGUUUACCGGAAGUGAUUGAGAUUAGGGGGUGAGAGGAUGGGUGUAGAUUGAGAUUAGGAACAUGAAAUGGAGCUCAGAAGGGAAGGAACUGAAGCUUGGACAGAAAGACAACAAACAACAGCUUCUGUUUGUGGAUUUUAAAUGCUUCUGUUUGUUGAAGGGGAAACCUGUCACAUGGCCAUCAGAUGAUGACAAAUGGGGUGAAGUGAGGGAAGAGAGAAGCGUAUGCGAUAUUUUACACAGACAGAGAGGAGAGAUGGAGACAAAGAGAG